rnacentral:rRNA from 1 species
UGAGGAAUAUUGGUCAAUGGACGAAAGUCUGAACCAGCCAUGCCGCGUGCAGGAUGACGGCCCUACGGGUUGUAAACUGCUUUUAUAAGGGAAUAAACCCCCCGACGUGUCGGGGGCUGAAGGUACCUUACGAAUAAGGAUCGGCUAACUCCGUGCCAGCAGCCGCGGUAAUACGGAGGAUCCAAGCGUUAUCCGGAUUCAUUGGGUUUAAAGGGUCCGCAGGCGGGUUAUUAAGUCAGUGGUGAAAUCCUGCAGCUUAACUGUAGAACUGCCAUUGAUACUGGUAACCUUGAGUGUGGUUGAAGUGGGCGGAAUGUGUCAUGUAGCGGUGAAAUGCAUAGAUAUGACAC